rnacentral:rRNA from 1 species
UACGGAGGGUGCAAGCGUUAUCCGGAUUCACUGGGUUUAAAGGGUGCGUAGGUGGGCAGGUAAGUCAGUGGUGAAAUCUCCGAGCUUAACUCGGAACUGCCGUUGAUACUAUUUGUCUUGAAUAUUGUGGAGGUAAGCGGAAUAUGUCAUGUAGCGGUGAAAUGCUUAGAUAUGACAUAGAACACCAAUUGCGAAGGCAGCUUACUACACAACGAUUGACGCUGAGGCACGAAAGCGUGGGGGAUCAAAACAGG